rnacentral:lncRNA from 1 species
UGAUAGACAAUUAGUUCAGAUUUCAGAAAUUGUUAAGCCUAUUAAAGCGAGUAACCUUCUCAAUCAAGAUUAUCUUUUACCUUUACUAAAUUUAAACUCCCUAAGGUCUUUCCUAAGCAAUCACAACAAAGCAAAGAAAGACAUAAUAUCACGUUAUUUCCAUAGUAGCAUAUACAUAAAUAGGCUAUUAAUUGCGAGAAUUUAAAGAAAGGGGGGAAGGACUCGACUCUUGUGUUGGGCUGACAAUUAGUCAGGCCCAACCAAAUCCAAGCAGCAACAGACUUCAAGCGGACGACGGGGAAGAUAUCCUAGUUCCUCAAACAUGGGCCUCAGUAUAUCAUGAACUCCAUGAGCCUAGCGUUCAUGCAAGAGAAAAAAAAAAGAAAAACAAUUAGUGAGUGCCAAUAAAGAGUAAAGCAGAAAAUAAUGACAAUAAAUAUAAGUAUGAUUUAAAAUAUAGCAAAGCCAAAUUUUGUUUGUGAUAAUCCCCUAAAGAUUAAUCAAGGUCAAUAAUUAUAGACUUAAAGUGAACCAUAUUCACUUACAAGGUUCCUCUUAUAGAUCCCUAGCACUUCAAAGUUCACAAGGGUCUCUUAAACCCCGAGCAGUGCUUGUUCCAAGGAAGGGUCCCUUGAUAGUAAAAUUUAGUCCACAUCAAAUACCCCGACUAUUAAACCAUGUUAUUCAAUAGGGAUUUAGAUACAAGAACCAUGACUAAGCACUUAACCAAAUAGGUUAGCUAGGCAGCCCCAUACAUUCAACAUGAGACAAACUGUCAAUAACAUAGAAGAUUCAAUAUGAUACCUCAACUCAUCUAAGCAUGAUAUAUUUCAGGAAAUCAGCCAAACAAAGGUACAAAUAGUUUCAGGACAAUACAAGACUUGUUAGCAAACAAUCAUUCUAGCAAUUGAAAUAAUCACUUGGGUAAAAUGCCAUAAAUAAUCAGGGACUACCGCAUGAUUCUGUUUGAAACUAUCUUUAGCAAGUGAUCGCUAUCAAAAUGCAUGAUGUAAGGAUAUAUCACUAGAUAUAAUCUCUCAAAGUUCUUAGUAGUUUCAAAGGCUUAAAAGUCAACUCAGAACCAUUCCACAUGUUAUAUCUACACAACAUUCUUAGGGAUCAUUGCUCCAAACAAAGUCAAGAGAGAGUCACAAAGUAUAAGUGGUUAGCUAUACAUUUCUAUGAGCAUGCUUGCUAUGUUACAUGUAAUUUUAAUUUCAAGAAUGUCACUCUAGGUGGUUUAAGGCAUUGGUUAGAGUUAGCAAAAUACAAACACAUGCAUUCACUUACUGAGUUUUCAUUAGAGGUCUACUGUUUCAUAAGGUAACAAGAGUAACUACAUAAACCUUUUUACAAUCAGUGAGUCUAUGUCAUUAAUGCUAUAAACCUUGAAGAAAUUAAACAUCUUAGGGCAGUCAUUUAAAGAUAACUAGAUACACCAAUGAAGAGAAACAACUCAUGAUUAAACUUCAAUGGACAUUAAGCAGCCUAGGAUAAACACUUUAGACCUGUAACUAACUCCACCAAAGUCAGGCCAAUCAGAGAAGAUAACAAAGCUACUAAUCAAGACAUGAUGAUCAGAUUUUAAUGUUAAGGUGAAACCUACAAGCAUGGUAUCUACAACCAUAACAAUCAGUACAAGCAGCAUGCAUGAUUUCACGAAUAACAAAUAGGAUUGCUAAACAUAUUAGGACCAGUAUUCAAGUUUUAUUAUAGACUAUAUUUUAUGAUAGCAUGAUAAACAAAACAAGGCUUCAAACGACCAAGUAUACUAACAUGAUAGGGCAUGCACACUACUGAUGACAGACUCCAAUUAGCCAAAUAAGAUAAGGUAAGAAUCUGAAUGACUAACAACAAAGGAAAUAGUGACUACACAGAAAAUGAACAAGAGAAACGAGAUUCAAUGAUCAUCAAAAGACAUUUUGUUUAAACAUACAGCACAGGAGAUAAACAUAAUUGUUAAUGUGAAGCGUCAAUUAGUCAAGUGGAAACCAAUACAAGCGGCAGAACAUAAUUGAAAGUCAUAUGCUUGACUAAUGAUUAUCAUGAAGGAGCGUAGGCAGAGGACUAGCAGCAAAUAUUAGAUAAUCAAAUAAAAAAAUAUAAGAAAACUCUAGAAUAAAUCUGAUUGAUUAAAGUAAAAUCAGUGGUCUGCUGACCUUCUUUGGUGCAACAAAUCAUGCAGCUAUGCUUAGUCGUUUAAGGUCCAAUACUCACCACCAAUUCUUAGCGUUUCAAAUUGAUAAGAAAACAAAAGGAAAGAAAUUUAGAGGGAUUCACUAAAUACUUUAAGAAAAUCGAUUGUAGAGCAAUUACUAAGAUUUUUAUGGUAGUUGUGUGUGUUGGUGAGGUCACUAAAGCCCAGGAUUUAUAUCUACGAUUGAGACCUUAGGGGUUUCAUUCAAAUUUGAAAAUUAGUGAAAAAUGAUGAUAAUGAACACUGAUGAAAUCAAAAGGGGAAAAAUGAAAAUUCAGAGGGGAAAUGAGAGUAGGGAUUUUACCUAUUCAAAAAUGUUGACCAGGCUAGCCGUUGAGACCAUCGGACCACCGGAUAAAACUAAUAUACAGAGGUCACUGCGUUUGAACUUUGGGUCGUCAUAUGUCACGAUGAGUUAAGAUUCCUCCGAAUCUGGAGGAUGCAUGCAAGCUUUAAUGGCGUAUUUGAACCAAAUAAGACGUGAUGACGAGGCUCCGUGACUUUCAUGUUUGAAGCUAGGGCUUUGGCUUUAGAUAUUUGAAUGUGGAUGAUGAGAAUGGUAAUGUUCUCGGCUAGAUUAGCAGCCAAAUGGGGGGGGGGGGGAAUGAUGAAGUUUUGGUUGUCUCCAGUGAGCUUGCACUGAUUUGUGCAAGGUCUAGGAAUGGAAGAGGGGUGAGAUGAUGAGAGAAAAGAGAGAGAAGGGGAAAUGGGGCGGUUGGCGUUAUGAGAAAGUGAUUAGGGUUUGAGGGUGUUGGCUUAGUUUUAAACAGGAGAUCACAUAGGGGCUGUUGAAUCAUUUAG